rnacentral:rRNA from 1 species
CGGAGGGGGCGAGCGUUGUCCGAAGUUACUGGGCGUAAAGCGCGUGUAGGCGGGUUGCCAAGUCCGUUGUGAAAGCCCGAGGCUCAACCUCGGAGGGUCGGUGGAUACUGGCAGUCUUGAAGUUGCUAGGGGGAGAUGGAAUUACCGGUGUAGCGGUGAAAUGCGUAGAGAUCGGUAGGAACACCAGUGGCGAAGGCGGUCUCCUGGGGCACACUUGACGCUGAGACGCGAAAGCUGGGGGAGCGAACGGGAUUAGAUACCCCGGUAGUCCCAGCCCUAAACGAUGGAUACUAGGUGUCGGGGGUAUCGACCCCCCCCGGUGCCGCCGCUAACGCAGUAAGUAUCCCGCCUGGGGAGUACGGCCGCAAGGUUG